GGCGAAGGGGGCUAGCGUUGUUCGGAAUUACUGGGCGUAAAGCGCGUGUAGGCGGUUGUCCAAGUUGGAUGUGAAAGCCUUGAGCUUAACUCAAGAAAUGCAUUCAGGACUGGAUGACUAGAGGACCGGAGAGGAUAGUGGAAUUCCCAGUGUAGUGGUGAAAUACGUAGAGAUUGGGAAGAACACCAGUGGCGAAGGCGGCUAUCUGGACGGUUUCUGACGCUAAGACGCGAAAGCGUGGGGAGCAAACAGG
rnacentral:rRNA from 1 species